UACGAUUCUUAUGGCUUUAAUUUUUUUUCUUUUUAAUGUGACUUAAAUUAUAACUGUUUCACCUCAAUAAAUCCAUCUUUUUCUCUAUCGUGGUUCUCAUCUUAGCUCUCUCUCUCUCUCUCUCUCUCUCUCUCUCUCUCUCUCUCUCUCUCUCUCUCUCUCUCUCUCUCUCUCCUUGAUUUCUUAUUAAUCUGUCCUUUUAUGAGUUUAAAAGCUAUUUGAUUCAAAGCAAAAUUCCAUUAACGAUUUAACAUGUUUUUUUCUUCUUAUAUGAAUCUUAAUGAUGGGUUCUGUUUCUUCUUAUGCAGGAUUUAAAAGGAAACUAUGAUUUACUAAACUCACAAAUCUGAUAGAAUUUUUCUAAAAAGGAUCAGAAACAGUUGGAAGUAUAAGAGACAAAAUCUACUAAUAUUUUGGAAAGUAGAAGUCGGAGAAUUCAUGCCACCAGUUAAGAUUGAUGAUUGAAAUAAACAUGAAGAGAAGGAGAAGAAAAGGAGGAAGAAUCACAACUCAAGAAAUUUCAUAGCCAAGUCUAUUUAUUUGUUUAUCAUUUUCUUAUUACUGUUGUUAGAAACUUGGAUCUAUAUUUCUUUCAUCCUCAUAUUGUAUUUUAAUAUUUUAAUGUAAGAGUUAAUAAGAAAAUAUUUUGAUUAA